rnacentral:tRNA from 1 species
AAAUAUGAAACAAAAAUUUGUAAUUAGUUUCGACCUAAUGUUUGAUAUUAAAUUAUCCUUAUUUA